GAUGAACGCUGGCGGCGUGCCUAAUACAUGCAAGUCGAGCGAACGGACGAGAAGCUUGCUUCUCUGAUGUUAGCGGCGGACGGGUGAGUAACACGUGGAUAACCUACCUAUAAGACUGGGAUAACUUCGGGAAACCGGAGCUAAUACCGGAUAAUAUUUUGAACCGCAUGGUUCAAAAGUGAAAGACGGUCUUGCUGUCACUUAUAGAUGGAUCCGUGCUGCAUUAGCUAGUUGGUAAGGUAACGGCUUACCAAGGCAACGAUGCAUAGCCGACCUGAGAGGGUGAUCGGCCACACUGGAACUGAGACACGGUCCAGACUCCUACGGGAGGCAGCAGUAGGGAAUCUUCCGCAAUGGGCGAAAGCCUGACGGCGCAACGCCGCGUGAGUGAUGAAGGUCUUCGGAUCGUAAAACUCUGUUAUUAGGGAAGAACAUAUGUGUAAGUAACUGUGCACAUCUUGACGGUACCUAAUCAGAAAGCCACGGCUAACUACGUG
rnacentral:rRNA from 1 species